rnacentral:lncRNA from 1 species
AAAAAUUAGGGGGCAUUUGGAGAAUCGAACUCGGGACCUCUCGCACCCAAAGCAAGAAUCAUACCACUAGGCCAAAUGCCUAGCUGUUGAUGGUGCCUCAUUGACAUUCUUAAUGAUAGCUGGAAGUUCCACGUUUUUGUAUCUGAAAGAAAUAACCAUUUUCUUGAGGAAUUAUCACAUGCUAUUAUUGAGAGCAGAGGAUAGAAAUUACAGUAGUUACAAAAGGCAUAAGUAUAAAUCUGAGCUACACAGUGCUAAGUAUAAAUCUGCAGCUCAUUUGGUUCUAAUGAUUUUCAUGCUAUUCUGUUUGGUGUUAACUGAAUAGAGGGUGACUCCUCAGCAACUGGAACCAUUUUACUCCUGAUUAGAGUGGAAAACUGGAGAGCUGUUGCCCCGAAUAGACAACCAUAUCACCACAUAAAUGCUCC